rnacentral:rRNA from 1 species
AUUGAACGCUGGCGGCAGGCCUAACACAUGCAAGUCGAACGAGCGGCGGACGGGUGAGUAAUGUCUGGGAAACUGCCCGAUGGAGGGGGAUAACUACUGGAAACGGUGGCUAAUACCGCAUACUAUCGGAUGUACCCAUAUGGGAUUAGCUAGUGGGUGGGGUAAAGGCUCACCUAGGCGACGAUCCCUAGCUGGUCUGAGAGGAUGACCAGCCACACUGGGACUGAGACACGGCCCAGACUCCUACGGGAGGCAGCAGUUGGGAAUAUUGCACAAUGGGCGCAAGCCUGAUACAGCCAUGCCGCGUGUAUGAAGAAGGCCUUAGGGUUGUAAAGUACUUUCAGCGGGGAGGCGUUACCCGCAGAAGAAGCACCGGCUAACUCCGUGCCAGCAGCCGCGGUAAUUC